ACUUCAAAUGGUGUUUAUCUUUUCUACAUUUGUGUUCAGCCCUCUGACAACAAGGGAGGAACAUGUUGAGGGAGGAGCAACACUGUCAAAGAGCAGAACAGAAAAUGCUCACUGCAUUGCUUGCCAACAAUGAAGAAAUGAUCGAUCUUUUAAAUUAUGUCAUCAAAGAAUCACUAGAACAACCUCCUCACAGUUAGUCAAGAUGCUGCUACCAGUCUGUAACCAGGAGGAAGAGGAACAGAGAGAAGAAACUACAGAUCAAAGAGGAGACGGAGAGAUUCAGGGAGGAGCUGAGCUGUUACUGAACUAUAGAAGAGACACAAACUUCCACAUUAGAACCAUCAGCUGUGAAGAACUCACUGCAGAUAACAUCAGAUAGUUUCAUCUGCUGAUUUAAACCUUGUUGAACACAUGGAACACUGGCUGUGGAUUAUUCUUGCUGCUCUUCUCUUUGAGUGUAAAGGAGAAGACAAAGUGAUGCAGAAAUCAGGAGAUGUCAUUGCUGCUGAAGGAGACACAGUUACACUGGAUUGUAAUUUUGAGACCAGUAGAACAAGUCCCACUUUGUUCUGGUACAAACAAGAAGUGAAUGAGUUCCCAAAGUAUAUGUUAAAAACUUACUCAACAUCAGUGGAAAAAGCUCCAGAGUUCCAGAAAGACAGAUUUGAUGCUAAAAUCAACGAGACGUCAGUUCCUCUGAAGAUCCAGAAGCUUCAGCUGUCAGACUCUGCUGUGUACUACUGUGUUCUGAGGCCCACAGUGACAGGAAACAGCAAAAGUCUGUACAAAAACCUUUGGAACAAAGACAACAGAAAACUCCACAACAUCCACUAGAGGGAGACACUCUGUUACGCUGCUAUGCCA